GAUGAACGCUGGCGGCGUGCCUGAUACAUGCAAGUAGAACGCUGAAGGAAGGAGCUUGCUCUUUCCGGAUGAGUUGCGAACGGGUGAGUAACGCGUAGGUAACCUGCCUGGUAGCGGGGGAUAACUAUUGGAAACGAUAGCUAAUACCGCAUAACAGUAGAUGUUGCAUGAUAUCUACUUAAAAGGUGCAAUUGCACCACUACCAGAUGGACCUGCGUUGUAUUAGCUAGUUGGUGAGGUAACGGCUCACCAAGGCGACGAUACAUAGCCGACCUGAGAGGGUGAUCGGCCACACUGGGACUGAGACACGGCCCAGACUCCUACGGGAGGCAGCAGUAGGGAAUCUUCGGCAAUGGACGGAAGUCUGACCGAGCAACGCCGCGUGAGUGAAGAAGGUUUUCGGAUCGUAAAGCUCUGUUGUAAGAGAAGAACGAGUGUGAGAGUGGAAAGUUCACACUGUGACGGUAUCUUACCAGAAAGGGACGGCUAACUACGUG
rnacentral:rRNA from 1 species